GACAGCUCAGUCGGUAGAGCAUGAGUGUCUUAAUCUCAGGGUUGUGGGUUCAAGUUCCAUGGUGGUCA